rnacentral:tRNA from 1 species
GAGGGUGUAGCUCAGUGGUAGAGCAAAUGCUUAGCAUGCAUGAGGUCCUGGGUUCAAUCCCCAAUACCUCCA